GUUCUCAUCCAUCCCAUUCAUCUUUUUAUAAUCUGAUAGAGCCCACCCUUCAGCUGUUCCUGGCCCCUUUUCUGAGAUUUGCACCCUUCCUGGGGGAGAUACAGGCCCUGCUGUUCUCAGGGCAUUAGAACCAACUUCUUCUCUGAUCUGAACCUUCUUUUGUUUCUCUGAGCUUCUAGUACCUCUGGUGCUGCUCAUAAAGAAGAUCUUAGAGUCCACUAGACACACAGCAGUGCCUGAAUUUAGUAGGUGAAUGAAAUGCAGGCGCCCACUUGCUGAAUAGGCACUGUCCAAAAUACUCUCCCCAUUCACAGCAAAAUAACUGAGGCCUGGAUGUUAAAGCGACUUUUCCCACAAGUUAAAAUCAGGACUCAAAGGAGAACCUGUCUCCUAAUUGCUAUAAAAGUGUUUUAUACACUAAGCUGUAGUGCCUUUCUUUGCAGAGAAAAUAUAAUAAGAGACCAUCUGGGUGGGAGAGAAAGAAUGAAGGGAAAGAGAUGGAUCAGAGUGGAAUAAAGGAAGUGGGCAGGAAGCUGGGGGGCCGCGAGGAGCCUGACCUUGCUUAGCUCACAGGCCCUGAUAUAGUGUCUUUGUCAAUGCUGCCACUAUUGGCGCGUUCCUCGGUAAUUAUGACUGUGUGUUGGCAUGGCGACUCAGAGUAAGAAGACUAGAAGCACAGGGUAAAUGCACGACUUGUUCUUGCCUUCUAAAGCAGAGAGGAGCUUUUGUGGGUAGUUCCUCCAGGGAGACGUGGUAGAAAAUUCACCAGACCCAGUGCUGGAGCGUGGGUAUUUGCAACCCAAAGAGGCUGGGUGGCCCUGAUCGAGGGUGGCACACCCCAGAGGGCCUCAUCCAGACCUGCCUCCAGUGCAGAGGUCACACAGAACCUCCCUCCUGUUCUCUUCUGUUGGUCUUUGUUCCUGAGCUUGUGAUGUCAAGUACACCCAUGUCUUCUCUCCUCCACGUUGUCUGUUUUAAACAGGUUUCUGUUGCGGGCUCCCUGAAAUAGAUUUACUGUAAACUCAUCUAUCUCGUAGGAACAACUUUGAUCUUCGGAAUCAGCAUAGCAGUAACCUAUUGAGAUUUCUGUGUAACAUUGGACGCAUUCCAGAAUCAGAAGACAGGGAAAUGAGAAGCAGGAGCCCUGGUGGAAGAGUCUGAAGGUAUAGGGCAGGCAUGAACGCUUCUCAAGGUCAGGUAAUACGGCUGGGUUGUGGGAUGAGGACAGUGAUGAUACCCAGAAUAUUUUACCAUGGGCGCCAGCCAGUCGGAAUGACAGCUGGCCCAAAUCGCCAGCCCAGGGAGGAGGGCACAGCUGGCCUGGGAGUGAAAUCCUUGCCCAAAGUGACCCAAGGUGGCCUGGUAGAGUAACGAGGGCAUAGGAAGACACAGCCAUACUCACCUGGAAGUCAGAGACUUGGCCUCCAGCCCAUCUUCCUGGUGAAUAGCCUUCGGUGAGCCAGCUCCCGUUCUGCACCAGGAAAAGGAGCAUUGGAUAGAAGGGCUUCAAAGAUUGUCCUGUGAAGUGUGAUGGGACAACCUCUUUUCAGCUUCUCUGAAGAUGGAGACCGAGAGGAAUGGUGGGUCUUGCCAAGGUCACAGGACUGGAAUUCACAGCCACGCCACUCCAGGACCCUGGAGGUCAUCAGCAGGGGAAAGGGGAAAAGCCAAGCAGAAAGGGAAGAUGUCAUCUGAAGCCAGCGUCUUGAGGCUGCGACAGUCGGGCCCGGAUAGAGGAGGCGGCUAUGGGCAGAGGUUUGAGGUACUCUGACCAGGCUUCCAGCAAACUGGAGCUCUCAGUCAUCUGUAUUUCUGACCCAGAGGAGUGAGGGCAGCACACUGGGAGGUUGCUAAAGCAAGGGGCUCCAGCCUUCUAGGAGUUAACGACUCCCUCUCCCCAGCUGUCCUCCACUUGGUGCUCCUCUUCCUCCCUCCUCCUGCUCACAGCAGGCAGGGCCUGGACCUGGGAGCCAUGCCGCUGUGCUGUUGCCACGGGAGCCGGGAGGCAGAUCUGAGCUAUGCAGGGAAAAGACCCAGCCUGUCAAAGUGUCUGAGAUGAACCGCCGCCGUCCCCGUGCAGCUGGGCUCAGACGUGUCUCGGCUCUUGUUCUGUGCCUGAGAAUGGCGAAGCCCAGUGAGGUUCAAGGGCAAACUCACUAUUCAUUAGUCAGGGGUUCUUGACGUCCCGUCUCUCCCAGGGAUGGGAUUCCCCCCCCUUCCUCUUUCUCUCCCUUCUGUGACACAUUCCUGGGUUCCUUUGGUGAGGACUGCACCCUCCUCUGGCUACUGCCCAGCCCCUUCUCCAUGGCCCCUAAAUAAACUACCCCCAAGGAGACCAGGCAGGGCAGAGACAAUGGCCACAGGAAACCAUUCAGGCAGGACUCUAGCCAUGCUGGCCUGCCCUCUGCUCCCAGCACCCUUGUGAGCCCCACUUUCCUCUGACUCAGGGUACCCCGGGCCACCAGCAUGCACGAUCCUAGACAGGAGGAAGCCCCUGGUCACUGCCCUUGGGACAACAGACCCAUUCUCAGAGGCUCCUGAGUCGCCUCCAUAGCCUGGAUCUCACACAGCUGGAUAGUUUGGUGCCUUUCUCUACCAUCACCGGUCUGUUUUAAGACACUCUUAAACACUGGUUGGAGAAUGUAAAUUGUACAGUAUUUUCUGUAAGGUGGUGGGUAUUAGGAUGGAAAAGACAUAUACUUAGUCACAAGCAAAUUGCACGGCUAGGAAUUUAUUCUCUGGUCAUAUAUGUAAAAAUGUCCAAAGAAUUAUGUCCAAGGAUGUUUAUCAGAACAUUUUGUUUUUAAGAAUGUAAGAACAUGUAAAUGAACCCAUGGUCCAUUCAUACGGUGGAAUAUUAUGCAGCUGCAAAAAUCACUGUGGUAGAUCUCUCUAUAAGCUGAUAUGGAAGGUUGACCAAUAUAUAUUGUUGCACGAGGAGAAUAAAUUGCAGAACUGGCAAUAGAGUAUGAUCUUA